UACGUAGGGUGCAAGCGUUGUCCGGAAUUAUUGGGCGUAAAGAGCUCGUAGGCGGUUUGUCGCGUCGAAUGUGAAAACCCGGGGCUCAACUCCGGGCCUGCAUUCGAUACGGGCAGACUAGAGUUCGGUAGGGGAGACUGGAAUUCCUGGUGUAGCGGUGAAAUGCGCAGAUAUCAGGAGGAACACCGGUGGCGAAGGCGGGUCUCUGGGCCGAUACUGACGCUGAGGAGCGAAAGCCAGGGGAGCGAACGGG
rnacentral:rRNA from 1 species